rnacentral:hammerhead_ribozyme from 1 species
AUCCAGCUGACCAAUCCCAAAUGGGACGAAACGUGCAUCCUGGAU